GGGCCCGCACAAGCGGAGGAACAUGUGGUUUAAUUCGAUGAUACGCGAGGAACCUUACCCGGGCUCGAACGGCAGAGGAAUGUAGUGGAAACAUUACAGUCAGCAAUGACUUCUGUCGAGGUGCUGCAUGGUUGUCGUCAGCUCGUGCCGUGAGGUGUCGGCUUAAGUGCCAUAACGAGCGCAACCCUUAUCGAUAGUUGCCAGCGGAUAAUGCCGGGGACUCUAUUGAGACUGCCACCGUAAGGUGUGAGGAAGGGGGGAUGACGUCAAAUCAGCACGGCCCUUACGUCCGGGGCGACACACGUGUUACAAUGGGGGGUACAGAGGGCAGCUACCUAGUGAUAGGAUGCGAAUCUCGAAAACCUCUCUCAGUUCGGAUCGGAGUCUGCAACUCGACUCCGUGAAGUUGGAUUCGCUAGUAAUCGCGCAUCAGCCACGGCG
rnacentral:rRNA from 1 species